rnacentral:rRNA from 1 species
CCUACGGGAGGCAGCAGUGAGGAAUAUUGGUCAAUGGGCGCGAGCCUGAACCAGCCAAGUAGCGUGAAGGAUGACUGCCCUACGGGUUGUAAACUUCUUUUAUAAAGGAAUAAAGUGAGGCACGUGUGCCUUUUUGUGUGUACUUUAUGAAUAAGGAUCGGCUAACUCCGUGCCAGCAGCCGCGGUAAUACGGAGGAUCCGAGCGUUAUCCGGAUUUAUUGGGUUUAAAGGGAGCGUAGAUGGGUUGUUAAGUCAGUGGUGAAAGUUUGCGGCUCAACCGUAAAAUUGCAAUUGAUACUGGCAGCCUUGAGUGCAGUUGAGGUAGGCGGAAUGCGUGGUGUAGCGGUGAAAUGCUUAGAUAUCACGAAGAACUCCGAUUGCGAAGGCAGCUUACUAACCUGCCACUGACGUUGAUGCUCGAAAGUGUGGGUAUCAAACAGGAUUAGAUACCCUUGUAGUC